rnacentral:snRNA from 1 species
GUGCUGGCUUCGGCAGCACAUAUACUAAAAUUGGAACAAUACAGAGUUUAGCAUGGCCCCUGUGCAAGGAUGACACACAAAUUUGUGAAGCGUUCCAUAUUUUA